GUCGGCGGAACUUCCUCGUGUCGUCCUCAGGAAGAGAAGCAGUUUCCAAAGUGUCUUGAGUAGCCCAGGGUUGGGGGAGGCAAGGCUGCCAGCGUAGUGGCUUGGAGAACCGCUGGCACAAGGAAGUUCUUCAGAAUUUUCCAGAAGCGGUGCUAUUUCAGGAUGUGGUGGUGCUGAGGCUGUAAGGGGCCUUGUUAUUAAGUUUGGAAAUAGCAAACAGAACAGAGUCUCAAGGACUCCCCUUCUGCACUAUCCCUGCUUGUGAUGUUCAGAACACCUGGCAUUCUUACUGGGCCUGGCUCAGGGCUGCUGAGUCAACAGCAACAGUAGAUCUUCUCUGCCUGUUUCUUAUCAACUACAUGCCAGCAUCGUAGAGAUGACAGGAGUAAGAAGCUAUCUUUCUGUCAUUCAUUAAAUAUGGGCCACAUACUAUGUGCUGAUGUGUAUUUACUCUGUACCAUCCAGUGGGUUACUUUCUGUUCCCUGAUCUUGGCAAGCUCCUUGCUGUCCCAAGGCCUUUGUACUUGCUGUUCUUUCUGUGUGGAACCUUCCUAAUGGCUGCCACUGUGCCUUUUUUUUUUAAGUUAUCAUGUCUCAC